rnacentral:tRNA from 1 species
GCAGGCAUAGUUUAACCCAAAACCUUAAGCUGUGGACUUAAAAAUAAAGA